rnacentral:rRNA from 1 species
AGUGAACGCUGGCGGCGUGCCUAACACAUGCAAGUCGAACGAGAACGGGUUAUAGCUUGCUAUAACUGUCAGCUAAGUGGCGCACGGGUGAGUAAUAUAUAGUUAACCUGCCCUCGAGAAAGGAAUAACAGUUGGAAACGACUGCUAAUGCCCUAUAUGCCUUUAUGACAUAAGUCAGCAAGGGAAAUGCUUUUGUGCUCGAGGAUGGGACUGUAUGGUAUCAGAUAGUUGGUGGGGUAAUGGCCUACCAAGUCAAUGACGCCUAACUGGUUUGAGAGGAUGAUCAGUCACACUGGAACUGAGACACGGUCCAG